rnacentral:lncRNA from 1 species
UGGUUUCCUUUGCUGUGCAAAAGCUUGUCAGUUUGAUAGGUCCCAUUGGUUUAUUUUUGCUUUUAUUUCUGUUGCUUUGGGAGACUGACCCAAGAAAACAUUUGUAGGGUUGAUGUCAGAAUGUUUUGCCUAUGUUCUCUUCGGGGAGUUUGGUGGUGUCUUGUCUUACAUUCAAGUCUUUAAGCCAUUUUGAGUUUAUUUUUGUGCAUGGUGUGAGGGUGUGUUCUAGUUUCACUCAUUUGCAUGCAGCUGUCCAGACUUCCCAGCAAUACUUGCUGAAAAGAUUGUCUUUUUCCCAUUUUAUAUUCUUGCCUUCUUUGUCAAAGAUUAAUUGACCAUAGAUGCCUGGGUCUAUUUCUGGGUUCUCUAUUGUGUUCCAUUGGUCUGUGUAUCUGUUUUGGUACCAGUACCACAGUGUCUUGAUUACUGCGGCUUUGUAAUAUUGCCUGAAAUCUGGGAGAGUUAUGCCUCCUGCUUGGUUUUUGUUCCUCAGGAUUGCUUUGGCAAUUGUGGUUCUAUAUAAAAUUUUGGAUUGUUUGUUCUAGUUCUGUGAGAAAUGUCAUGGGUAAUUUGAUAGGGAUUGCAUUGACACUGUAGAUUGCUUUGGGUAGUAUGGCCAUUUUUACAAUGUUAAUUUUUCCACCCCAGGAGCAUGGAAUAUCUUUCCAUUUCUUUAUAUCCUCUUUAAUUUCCUUGAUUAAUGUUUUACAGGUCUCAGCAUAUAAGUCUUUCACCUCCUUGGUAAGGUGUAUUCCCAGGUAUUUGAUUUUUUCGGGUACAAUUUUGAAAGGCAUUGUAUUUUUGUAUCCCUUUUCUAAUAUUUCAUUGUUAUAUACAGAAAUGCAACCAAUUACUAAAUGUUAACCUUGUAUCCUGCUACUUUGCUGAAUUCAUUUACCUGAUCUAGUAGUUUUUAUGUGGAGUCCUUAGAAUUUUCUAUAUAUAGCAUCAUGUCAUCUGCAUAUAGUGACAGUUUUACCUUUUCUCUUCCAAUUUGGAUAUCUUUUAUUUUUUGUUUUCCCUAUAAGGAUGCAAAUUUCAUGAUAAAAUUUUAUACUUUUAUAGUACCCAUUACAUGGCCAAUACUAUUAUAAUUUGGGGUUAACAUCUUAGUCUCAUCCACUACUACUGAGUCUCCAAGUGCAGCACAUUCCUGUCAGAGAGCAAAAUCCUUCUCCCAUACAAUCAGAUUCAGGGUGGUUAGGGUGAUAUAAUACUUUGAUGACUGGGACAUAUGUCUUUAUAAGGGUAUAUGCCUUUCCCAAUCCACUUCAGAAUCACUGCUUGAUUGGGAACUCACUAAUGGCACUUUUUAUGAAUUUCAAUCCAGUUAAAUAAAUUUAAUGAAAUCAUAUUUCUACUCACCUCAAUAUAGUUGGUCUUAAACAUUAACUCUAUUAAUUUGUAAAUCCCUAGCCUAUGCCUUCUCCAUCCACUUGGGGCAUGUUCCACAAGCCCAAUGGUAGUGAAUGGACCACCGGUUUAUGCCUGCACACUGUUAUAUCUGUGCAGACAGUCUCUAAAUAUGUGUACAAAAUAUGCCUAAUUAUUUGCAGGAAUGAAUACACACUCUCAGUGAUUUUCUUUUCUAACAAUUAUCAAAAGAACUCCUAUCUUUUUUUGGUGAAUGGAACAUGUUGAAUGCUCAUUCAUAAAAGAACUGUCACAUAUUUAAGACAUUCAGAAAACAUUGCCAUUCUCAGGCAUUUUAGUGAGUAUUUUUGAUGCUAAAUAAUAUCAUUUUAAUAGCUUUCUUUCUAAACACAAGGAUCAACUGAAAUUUUUCAUGAAUGUCAAUAAGUUAAAAUUUUUUUGUUUGGUCCAAAAUAUGCUAAAAAUUAAACAAAGCCAAAUAUAAAUGUAUCAACAACAAACAAUAUCUUGUAUCGAGAGAAAACUUUUCUGGCUUCAGAAAAGAGUUUCUCUUCAAUCUCAACAUAUAAGUGUAUGACAGUAGAUUUCUGGGGAGUUCCCUGGUGGCCUAGUGGUUUGGAUUCAGUGCUUUCACUGCUGCAGCCGGGUUCAAUCCUUGGUCUGGGAACUGAGAUCCCAUAUCAAGCCACUGCACACCACAGCCAAAAACCAAACCAAAACAAACAAAAACAACAAAAACCCAACAGAGUUCACACGCUGUUGGGCUGUUAUUAAAUAAAAAUAAUUUUAGAUGAAAAAUUUACUCCUCUGAAAAUAGGUACUGAGCUAUGCAGCAAGUACUGUAGAGAAGACAGUCCCUUCCUUUCAAAAAUUUAGAGAUUAUUGGGAACCACAAAUCAAUAAAUCAACUAAAGGAAGGGCUAAGGCAAUAGCACAUGAAAAGGCACAGAGGCCAGAGAUAAGACAACUCUUUCCACAAAUAGUUUCAUGUGGUUAGAGAAUGGGAGCAGCUGUGGUAAGGGGAGGUACUGAGGUUGGAGAGAGGAGAAAGGGUUGAAUAUGCAUGCUAAGAGAUUUGGAUUUUGUUCAGUGAUCAGUGAAAAACUCUGGCGGUGAAAAGAAGACUGAUGAAGUAAAUCAGAGGUAAGGAGAUUAGUUGGAGGCUAUUUGUAAAAAUCCAGCUAAGACAUAACAGGGACAAACCUGGAGGAGUUCCCAUCAUGGCUCAGCAGAAGCAAAUCUGACUAGUAUCCAUGAGGCAGGUUCUAUCCCUCACCUCGCUCACUGGGUUAAGGAUCCGACGUUGCUAUGAGCUGUGGUGUAGGUUGCAGAUGUGCCUUGGAUCUGGCCUUGCUGUGGUUGUGCUGUAGGCCAGUAGCUACAGCUCCAAUUCAGCCUCUAGCCUGGGAACCUCCAUGUGCCAUGGGUGCAGCCCUAAAA